ensembl:lncRNA
GUGGGACGGGAUGAUGUAGGGAUAUAACAUUCAGACCGGAAUAUAAUAAAUGAAGGCGAGAGUGAGGGACGGAAAAAGAAAAGGAGACGGAGAUUUACACAAUAGAGAAAUGAGCAGAACAAUAGACACGCUCAUCUGCGCACUGCUUUCAUUUUAAAGCGGAUUUUUCCCCUGAUUUUUUUGUUGUUGUUGUUGACGAAUCCGAAUUGAAUACCUUGUUGGGAAGGAGUGUUUUUUUCUCCCAAGGGUGUUAAAUUAAGGCUGGGCUCGAGGAGAGAGAGAGAGAGAGAGAGAGAGAGAGAGAGAUUCACAGAUGAUUAUUUAAAGAGAAUAGUUGUUUUUCAUCUUUGCAGUUAUUAUUUACACCCAGUGCAAAACCUGCACACACUCCAGCUGCACGCGCCUGCUCAGUUUUAUUUAUUUAUUAUUAUUAAUAAUAAUAAUAUUAUUCAUUUUAAUAGUGAGUGUGUGUGUGUGUGCAGGAACACAUGUAAAGCGAGCGAGUGAGAGGGGACGAGAAAAGGGAAGGCUAGAAAAAAAGGAGAAAGAAACAAGGAAGCAAUCCCUCUAUUCCUCUCUCCAUCUGAGCGCCUGUGCCCUUUUUGGUGCAGAUAUUAUUAUUAUUAUUAUUAAUAACAAUAUUAUUAAUCAUUUCUGCAAGUGAAUUUAAUAAUUUCUAAUGCGCGCGCCGGGAGUAUGCGACUCGGCGCUAAUCACAGCAACCAACAACAUUCAAGAAACAGAAACCUAGAGAAGGAAAGUGUGUGCGGUCUGGAUGGGAGGGACAUACUGUGUGUGUCGGACUCGGUCUGACGAGGGCGAGUAGUGCUGUCCUCACAGUCCCCUCUGAAAGUAUUGGAACAUUUCACCUGUGAAGACUGCAUUUGUUGUUAAAAAGGACAAACCAACAUGACGAUCAGAGAGCUGUCUAUGGG